CUUUCGCGUCGGUGUCUAAAGUCGUCGUGUUGUUCGUUGUGUUGUUAACUCGUGAUUUGGUGGAGUAGCGAAGCUUGGAAGAUUCCAUACUCCUCUAGAAGUAAAAGUAAGGACGAUUUCUUGCUAUUCGACUUGAGUGAAGAUAGACUACUUCGUGCUACUGGAGAAGAAUGAAGAUAACAUUAUCCUGCUACUCGAGAAGGGUGAGUGUAAGGACGAUUUCCGGCUACAGGAGAAUAAGUUAGAUUUCGUGCUACUGAAUUAUAUUGAAGAUAAGGAAGACUCCUUACUACGUGAGAAGGAAAUAUGCCCUCGCUCAGUCUGUACAAAGGUUUGGUGAAUUCCAUAUCGGCAAGAAAACCUAAAAAGAUUGAAGCCAAGCCAAGACUGAAGCCAAGAUUGAUAUUUCUGACCCUUCACAAAAGCGGACCUUCCCAACCAAGGUCAGAGAUUUGCUGGUCAGAGACUUUUAAGUGUGGGCCUGUAUAGGAGAAAUUUGGAUCUAUUGUGAAUGGUUUAAUUUGGAUCUAUUGUGAAUGGUUUAAUUUGGAUCUAUUGGUGAAUGGUUUAAUUUGGAUCUAUUGUGAAUGGUUUAAUUUGGAUCUAUUGUGAAUGGUUUAACUGGGAUCUAUUGUGAAUGGUUUAACUGGGAUCUAUUGUGAAUGGUUUAACUGGGAUCUAUUGUGAAUGGUUUAACUGGGAUCUAUUGUGAAUGGGUUAACUGGGAUCUAUUGUGAAUGGGUUAACUGGGAUCUAUUGUGAAUGGG